UCCUGUUUUAGUAAAAUAAAAAACAGAGCUUUUAUUCUAUUAUUUUAAUAGUUCCUCGUCAUUCUAAGGCAAUUUCAUAUUUUAAUAAUUGUAUAAAACUAUGGAAUAUAUCUCUUAAGUCGAUAUUCUUACAUUUAGAUUCAAUACAAAAAAUAAUUAAUAAUUUCUUGAAAAAUAAUAAUUACAACAGUUAAAUAAAAUACAAUAAUAAAGUUAUCAAAAAACGUAAGAAAUAGCGAAAAUUCGUAAUAUAAAUAGAAAGGUUUUGAACACAAAACUUUUAGGUGAUAAAUCACUAUUAAGUAGCGGGAAUAAUGCAUUACAUUAGGUAUGCUAAGCAUGACUUAAAAUUAAAUUUAAGUAGAAAAAGCAAUAAUAAUAAGAAAUAUAGGUAUAUUUUAUGUAAAACCAGCAUGUAAAUAAAAUAUUGAUGCAGUCCAAUACUUGGACGCUCCAAUGCAAAAGGGUCCAGGUCCAUUUUUGUUCAUGUUUUUGAGUGACCAUGCAAGCUAAAAGCACCUUAGAAACAUUUAUAAACUUAAACAUAAGUAAUACUAAAACCCUAUUAAAGACCUAUCAUGUAAAUACAACUAUUUGUUCAAUAUUGUACAAUACCCAGAAUGUAGGAUAACACUUAAAGUCAACCAUCUUGACAUCAAGUACGUAGUUUUGUUUUGCUUGAUCAAGCUGCUUCAAGAAGCUUGAGCUUGGAUGAAUUAAACACUUGAGUCAGUAAAUGGCACUUCUGUUAUUUCUCGAACACUAUCCGAUUGUCGCCUCAAGCAAAAAUAUAAAAUCGCAUCAAGCACCAUCAAGCACUUAAAUGCUUGACUCAAGCAUCAAGCAAAUAUUGUAAACGGUCAAAAUUCUUGGCUCAAACAAAAACCUACGUGCUUGACGUCAAGCCGCUUGACCGUCUCGGUAGCCCAAGAAAGAGAUUUCCAUUUCGUAGGGCUUCGUCGGUGUCACUCAAACCUAUGUGACGUUUUGUCGACGACUAAAAAAACCCUCUACGAAACCGUUAUCCUCUUUCUCAAAUUGAUGUGCAAUGUUUCAUGUCCAGUACUGUAACAUUAUUAUUGUCUUAAAGUAAUGUUUAUGACUAAAUGACUUUUUGCAUUAGAGCCCCCAAUUAUACAAAACCUUUACAAAACCAACAGCUUUUAUUUAUUUGCACUUGAUACUUUUUUUAAAGAAAAAUAGUUUAAUACUAGUUAUUUGAGCUUUAAAGACUAGGAUAUUUGUGUCUGAUCUUAUAAAAGAAUCAUGUUUAUUAAUUAAUAACAAUAUCUAAAUUUUGUGCAUAAAAUAAUUUCAACAGAAUGUAUUACAAAUAAAAAUUAGGAAUGAGUUUCCGCCAUAUUGUGACAUCUUAACUGGAAAAAAUAUUCUUAUACAAUAAUUUUAAAUUUAAUAGAUUUUAUAGUGCCAAGAAUUAGAGAAAAAAUCGUUGUAUAGCUUUGCAAAUCAUUUUCCUUGAAAACUGUAUUUUCAAGUAACAGUUUCCAGAACAGCUUUCCUAUUCAAACUAAGAUUUGGACGCAUUUUAUCUAAAGUUAGCAGAUUGCAGAUUUUAAUAAUAUUAAUUAAACAAGUUCAUGCUGUUGUUUAAAAAUAUCUAGUCAUAAUUACGAGUUAAAAAAAGA